rnacentral:rRNA from 1 species
GAGCAGCAGUGGGGAAUAUUGCACAAUGGGCGAAAGCUGAUGCAGCGACGCCGCGUGAGGGAUGACGGCCUUCGGGUUGUAAACCUCUUUCAGCAGGGAAGAAGCGAAAGUGACGGUACCUGCAGAAGAAGCGCCGGCUAACUACGUGCCAGCAGCCGCGGUAAUACGUAGGGCGCAAGCGUUGUCCGGAAUUAUUGGGCGUAAAGAGCUCGUAGGCGGCUUGUCACGUCGAUUGUGAAAGCCCGAGGCUUAACCUCGGGUCUGCAGUCGAUACGGGCUAGCUAGAGUGUGGUAGGGGAGAUCGGAAUUCCUGGUGUAGCGGUGAAAUGCGCAGAUAUCAGGAGGAACACCGGUGGCGAAGGCGGAUCUCUGGGCCAUUACUGACGCUGAGGAGCGAAAGCGUGGGGAGCGAACAGGAUUAGAUACCCUGGUAGUCCACGCCGUAAACGGUGGGAACUAGGUGUUGGCGACAUUCCACGUCGUCGGUGCCGCAGCUAACGCAUUAAGUUCCCCGCCUGGGGAGUACGGCCGCAAGGCUAAAACUCAAAGGAAUUGACGGGGGCCCGCACAAGCGGCGGAGCAUGUGGCUUAAUUCGACGCAACGCGAAGAACCUUACCAAGGCUUGACAUACACCGGAAACGUCUG